rnacentral:rRNA from 1 species
GAUGAACGCUGGCGGCGUGCUUAAUACAUGCAAGUCGAACGAAGGGUUAGCAAUAACUCUUAGUGGCGAACGGGUGAGUAACGCGUUGGUGACCUGCCCCGAAGCGAGGGAUAACAGUUCGAAAGGACUGCUAAUACCGCAUGAGGUCGUUGAGGCUAGAGGCUUAGCGACGAAAGGAGCAAUCCGCUUUGGGAGGGGCCUGCGUCCCAUCAGCUAGUUGGUAAGGUAACGGCUUACCAAGGCGAUGACGGGUAGGGGACCUGAGAGGGUGGCCCCCCACAAUGGAACUGAAACACGGUCCAUACACCUACGGGUGGCUG